AUGCUGUGUGUAGCCGGACAGGUUAAGACUGCAGGGAUCGGAAGACGGUUGGCGUGUGAGAGGUUUUCUCGCUCUAGGGUGAUUCUUCAAGCAGUCACUAUAUCAACAGACACAGGUGUUUCCCUUCCUUCAUAUGAGGAAGAUCAGAGAUCCAAACUUAUUCGAAAAGCUAAGGAGGCACCAUUCGUACCCGUUGGAAUAGCAGGUUUUGCAGCAAUUGUUGCAUAUGGAUUAUACAAACUGAAGAGCAGGGGAAAUACUAAAAUGUCCCUUCAUCUGAUCCACAUGCGUGUGGCAGCCCAAGGCUUUGUUGUAGGAGCAAUGACUGUCGGUAUGGGCUAUUCCAUGUAUCGGGAAUUCUGGGCAAAACCUAAGCCUUAGAAGAAGAGAUGCUGUCUUGGUCUUGUUGGAGGAGCUUGCUUUAGUUAGAUGUCUCAUUAUUGAAGUUACCUAUUAUUGUUGAAAAUAAAUUAAUUUGUAUGGAUUUAGAUGGUAA